GGAAUUUUCCGCAAUGGGCGAAAGCCUGACGGAGCAACGCCGCGUGAGGGAUGAAGGCCUCUGGGCUGUAAACCUCUUUUAUCAAGGAAGAAGAUCUGACGGUACUUGAUGAAUAAGCCACGGCUAAUUCCGUGCCAGCAGCCGCGGUAAUACGGGAGUGGCAAGCGUUAUCCGGAAUUAUUGGGCGUAAAGCGUCCGCAGGCGGUCUGUCAAGUCUGCUGCUAAAGCGUGGAGCUUAACUCCAUUUCGGCAGUGGAAACUGACAGACUAGAGUGUGGUAGGGGCAGAGGGAAUUCCCGGUGUAGCGGUGAAAUGCGUAGAUAUCGGGAAGAACACCAGUGGCGAAGGCGCUCUGCUGGGCCAUAACUGACGCUCAUGGACGAAAGCCAGGGGAGCGAAAGGGAUUAGAUACCCCUGUAGUC
rnacentral:rRNA from 1 species